rfam:Myotis lucifugus cont2.10379, whole genome shotgun sequence.
GGCGGUUCUUGGGUGAUGCACCCCAGAACCAGAGAGGAGGGAGCCUGAUUCCAGGGUGCAUCACCAGAGAACCACC